UAGCAGAAGACGAUUACUGGGUGCUGAUUCGGCCUCCUGGAUCCAAAGACUUCUGCGACUAUAAAAAGCAAAUGAGUUCAGUAGAUCUGAUGGAAGUCAUGAACGUGUUCCUCUCCGAGCAUGAGUGCGAGCAUGAUGACACACUACCUGACCUCUCCAGUUUCAGUCCAGAAGGAACGGCCGGGCGGAGGACGGCACAUGGACGGAGGGGAGACAGACAGACCAGAACUCUGGGGAUCGACUGUGGAGACAGGAAGUGACAACUUUUCUGGAAGAUCUUAGUGGAGCUGAGCUUUGUCAACAUGGCACCACUGCUGCCCCCUGUUGGUGCGGAGGUAUUCGUUCGUUUUACACCAGCAUCACUGGAGAAAAUCCAACAACGACAUGAGGCUGAGGAGAAGGAGCUCCAGCGGAAGAAGGACAAGAACAUCGAAGUCAAAUCCAUACUCACAACCGUCCGUCUGUAGCCUGGAAAGCACAGACGAUCAAUAACCUGAUUGUGUUUCUUUGUAACAGAUAUCUGAAGACGAUCUUCCUAAACCAGCCAGUGAUCUGGAGGCAGGGAAGCCCUUGCCCUUCAUAUUCGGAGACCCGCCUUCAGAGUUUCUCAACAUCCCAUUGGAGGAUCUGGAUCCAUUCUAUCAGUCACAAAAGGUUUCUUCCUAAAUGAUCACAUGUGAAUUCAAAAGGGAGAAUUUAAAAUCUCUGACAUGAAAUAGACAAAAAAUAAAUUGAAAACAUUUCAAGACAAAAACACACUUGCUCUGAGCACAGGGGUGGCAUGUUAGCAGCAUGGGGGCAUUUUGGGCAGAGGUAUAAAUGAUGCCCCCUGAACUGAUGCUUUAUGGAACGUAUCAUGUGAUCAGCAUUUAUGUCUCUUUCCUUUGCCGCCACAGUCGAGGCUCAUCGAUGCGUUGUCGUGUUACCAUGACAACGCGCUGGAGCAUGGAUCAAAUAGUUCACUUUUUGUGAAAAAGCAAUCUAAAUGGAAAAAUAGCAAUUGGAAAGCACUAAAAACCGUGGUAUAAGUGGAAAAUACCCCACAAAGGGUUAUUAACGCACGGCAUGGAAGCCUGAACUACUGAGGCAAAGUGGAAGUCUGUUUCUUCCUUCCAUGUAACUAAUGUGUGUUAAUAAAUAUCCACGCCUUAAUACUGUUUUAUCAAUCACGUUACUUUUCACGUUUAUUAGUGCGUUACUGUUCACAGCCCUAGAUUAUGCAUCUUCUGCAGUAGAUUUAACAUGAACUAAUCACAGAUGUCAUCAACAGGAGUCAGUUAGAGCAUCGGUCUGUCUAAAGACUGCUCUGACUAUCACCUGUCUGUCUAAUACUGAUCUAAUCCUGUCUCUCCACAGACCUUCAUCGUGCUCAGUAAAGGGAACGUCAUCUACAGGUUUAACGCCGAGCCAGCGUGUUACCUUCUAACUCCCUUCAACCCUUUAAGGAUCUUUUCUAUUCGGAUCCUCAUCCAUUCAUAUCCUUCAUUUUCUCCGUCUUAGAACAGGAUUCAGGCCGUUUUCAAUGUGUUCAUGGUCUGAGGUAGAGUGGCCGACCUCUGAUGGGGAAAUCAAAGGUUUGGUUCCCUCUCUGCUAGCUCAUAGGUCAAGGUGUCACUGAGCAAGGCACUGAACCCCACAUUGCUCCUGGUGGUCAUAGGUUGGGUUCAGUUUUGGGCAGUGGGGCUGGCAUCAGUGUGAAUGUGUUCAUGGGUGAAUGGGAGCAUUGACCUGCCAGCUCCAUCUCUGGACCGCAGCUCGUUACGGCUCAGGUGUUAGACUAGAUAUGGACCGUUUGCUAAAGGCAGGUGUUGCAAAUGCGAAAUAGGUGAAAGCUUUGUGACUUUUCAGAAGGAUUACGACCCUCUGACGUAUACAAACAACCUCAGGAUACAGACUGGACCCUUGGACCUGAAGUUAGGGUUUCCAUUUCUGACUUUAACAAUAAGUAUACCAUCCUUUUUCUAAGACUCUCCACUGCUACAUUUAGGGGUUCCCACAGUGAAUUAUCUGCUUUUAUCUGAUCCUAUCUUCUGGAUUGUGCUGACUAAUGCAAACCAUCCUCACAUCCUCCUUCAUCCAUGAACCUCUUCUGGUCUUCCUCUGGACGUCCAGAAAUGUAAAUGAUAACAAGAAGAAUGGAUUGAAUUUUUAUGUGCUUUUACAAUCUGUCAGCAGGAUUCAUUCACACUGCUGAUGUGUCCACAGCAGAGGCGUGGCAGAGGUGUGGCUUUCAGGACACGCCCACAACCUUCUGAAUGUCACCAGGACAUUCACACACAUUCACUCACCAGUGGAGCCAUAAUGGAGGUAGGGAGGGGGAAGUGUCUUACCAAAGGACACAUCAACAGUUGACUGGGUGGAGCGGGGCAACAUCAUAAGCUGACCUGCUAUCUGCCACCCUGAUAGCUCCCACCUCAGCAUCCUUUUACCAAAAUCAGACCUGUUCCUCCUCUAAAUGUAAUCAAACCAUCUCCAUCUGCUUCCCUGCAUCUCCAGAACAUCCACCUUGAUCUGAUCCUCUGAUAAAUUCAUUCCUUAUCCGUCCUGUCACUCCCAGAGCAUUCUUCAUCUCUGCUGCUCUCAGCUCCACUUCCUCUCUCUGCAUCAGAGUCUCUAAACCAGGCGUGCCCAAAUCGAGGACUUGAGUCCUACAUGUUUUCCAGCCAACCUGCCAUUGAAUCUCCUUACAGGCUAAACACACCUGAUCCAGG
rnacentral:lncRNA from 1 species